rnacentral:lncRNA from 12 species
AAUAUUGCAAAUUGCCCCAAAAGCUGGCUGGCCCCUUACAGCUGGUGGUUGAAGAUGGGGGAAGCUUUGGAGCCCUCAGAAGAAUUUUAGCUGCAUGCUCCCGAAAGUGGCUCUGAAGAAUGUCGGGAUAGAGGUUCACACUUGCUUUUGCCUCAAUCCAUCUCUUCAUCACCAGGGACUGCUCACAGCCAGAAGGUAAUGGACCAGCUCACCUGUGCAUGAUUUGGUUGGGCCUAAAAGGAAACUUUUAGUUUGUAACUGGAAGAGAGGAA